rnacentral:lncRNA from 1 species
UUAUUGUCAUUUCUAAAGGGCAGAGUCUUUUCUAGAUCUGCCCCUCUUUCUCGCUCUCUCCUGAUUCGUUGUUCAUCACUGUAAGAUCUCUCUUCUCCGAUUCAUUGAUUUUCAUCACACACACACAUCGUUCGGUUGCUAACAAUUGAUAUGAUAAAGUUUGUUUAUUUGUGUAUCUAUUUUGUUGAUCGAGAAGUUUAUGGAAUUUAAGAUCUGGAUUUAGGCCGUUUGGAUCUGGG